rnacentral:tRNA from 1 species
GCCGUUCGUCGUGCGGCCGACGCUCGCGUCGUUCGCGACGCUCGAUUCGAGGCUCGUCGAAGCGGCGUCGAGCCUCGGCGCGAACGGCU